UACGUACCGUCCAAACGUUAUUCGGAAUUACUGGGCUUAAAGGGUACGUAGGCGGCGCUGUCAGUCGGGUGUGAAAUCCCAGGGCUCAACCCUGGAACUGCGCCCGAUACUGCAGUGCUUGAGGGAGACAGAGGUAAGCGGAACUGAUGGUGGAGCGGUGAAAUGCGUUGAUAUCCGGAGGAACACCAAAGGCGAAGGCAGUGUCCUGGGGAGUACCUGACGCUCAGGUGCGAAAGCCAGGGGAGCGAACGGG
rnacentral:rRNA from 1 species